rnacentral:lncRNA from 1 species
UACUUACCUUCUGACACAUUAAUGUUUGGCAUAUAGUUAUUGACUUACUUUAUAUCUCCUUUAUUAGAUUAUUCUUUUCAUGAGGGCAGAGCCAUUUUUUUCAUUCCAAUGAAACCCCAUUAUCAGCACCUAGGACAGGGUUUUCAGUAUGGGGCCCGUUGAAAGAUGUUUCUCUGUGAAUUUUUCCAAUCAUGUGUGCUUUGAAAAGAGACUGCUGUCUUCUUCUCACGAAGAUCCCUUGAGGAAAAAGAAUAUGAGGAAUGCUACAAAUUGGGGUGGAUUCUCCUUGGUUUAUCAGAGGAUGAAGAGAGACAGGAGGGAACUUGGAUAAAAGCAAAUUCCUGCCUUUCCUGGAGCCAAAUGAGGGUGCCCUGCUGGAUCUAUUUUGCUAAGUGAUCAGCUUUAUCUAAGGGGAAGAGAAAUGCACAGGCCUUUUAUAUUUCAACCUGGAUUUUGAGCCUCACUCUUCAUUUUUGUAGCUAUUUAUGGAUUUGGGUGCCUAAAGGGAGUUUAUUGAACAGCGUCCCCCAAAACACCAGUGCUUGAAUGAAUGAUGAAUGAUGAAUGAAUGAAAAAAAUUAAAUACUAUGUGCCAA